GACGAACGCUGGCGGCGUGCCUAAUACAUGCAAGUAGAACGCUGAAGGAGGAGCUUGCUUCUCUGGAUGAGUUGCGAACGGGUGAGUAACGCGUAGGUAACCUGCCUGGUAGCGGGGGAUAACUAUUGGAAACGAUAGCUAAUACCGCAUAAUAGUAGAUGUCGCAUGACAUUUGCUUAAAAGUUGCAAUUGCAUCACUACCAGAUGGACCUGCGUUGUAUUAGCUAGUUGGUGAGGUAACGGCUCACCAAGGCAACGAUACAUAGCCGACCUGAGAGGGUGAUCGGCCACACUGGGACUGAGACACGGCCCAGACUGCUACGGGAGGCAGCAGUAGGGAAUCGUCGGCAAUGGACGGAAGUCUGACCGAGCAACGCCGCGUGAGUGAAGAAGGUUUCCGGAUCGUAAAGCUCUGUUGUAAGAGAAGAACGAGUGUGAGAGUGGAAAGUUCACACUGUGACGGUAUCUUACCAGAAAGGGACGGCUAACUACGUG
rnacentral:rRNA from 1 species